GCCUGGCUGGCUCAGUUGGUAGAGCAUGUGACUCUUAAUCUCAGGGUCUUGGGGUCGUGAGUUCAAGCCCCACACUGGGUG
rnacentral:tRNA from 1 species